UACGUAGGGUGCAAGCGUUGUCCGGAAUUAUUGGGCGUAAAGAGCUCGUAGGCGGUUCGUCGCGUCGGCUGUGAAAACCCGGAGCUCAACUCCGGGCCUGCAGUCGAUACGGGCGGACUCGAGUUCGGCAGGGGAGACUGGAAUUCCUGGUGUAGCGGUGAAAUGCGCAGAUAUCAGGAGGAACACCGGUGGCGAAGGCGGGUCUCUGGGACGUUACUGACGCUGAGACGCGAAAGCGUGGGGAGCAAACAGG
rnacentral:rRNA from 1 species